UACGUAGGGGGCAAGCGUUGUCCGGAAUCAUUGGGCGUAAAGCGCGUGUAGGCGGUUCGGUAAGUCUGCUGUGAAAGUCCAGGGCUCAACCCUGGGAUGCCGGUGGAUACUGUCGGGCUCGAGUCCGGAAGAGGAGUGUGGAAUUCCUGGUGUAGCGGUGAAAUGCGCAGAUAUCAGGAGGAACACCAAUGGCGAAGGCAGCACUCUGGGACGUGACUGACGCUGAGACGCGAAAGCGUGGGGAGCGAACAGG
rnacentral:rRNA from 1 species